UGUUUUUUGCCCGAUUUAUCCCUUUCAGUCCUAGGACAGCUCUUUCUCUUUCCCUUCGAAGUAGCUCUCUUCCUCUUGCUGGAACGUGGUCUCCCGUUGGAACGUCAUCUCUUCGCAGCUCUCCAAUUUGAAAAUCCCACUGCAUUAUCAAAGGACUUAGGGGUUUCAUUAAUAGCUGCGAAAGAAGGAAAUUUUCUCGAAGCUGAGAGGAUUUUCUUGGGAGGUCCAAAAGUGCAGGAAAAUUUUUUAAAUGUACCGAGAGAAGGGGAAGGAGGAGGAGGAGGAGGAAAAGAGAGCGUGACGAGAGUGUCUUUGAAUUCGGGUGGCUCCACCAGAUUGAGAAUGAGGUCUGACCUUUUCUUGGUGGUGUGUAAGUGCUUCAGCAUCUUGACCUCCUCUACAGCCGUUCUCUGUAUUGCUGUUAAUGUUCUCUCUGCCAUUUGAUCAUUCAAGGACGGAUAUGAUUGUAGGUUUUCGAUGGGAUAUUUCGGUGUUAUGAGGUUUUGAUUGCAGCUUUUGUGGUUCUAGCUGAGACAGAGUGGGAAUUCAUCAUCAAGUUCUGGAAGGUGUAGCCAAGCCUGAGCUUAUCUAACCAGAUCAUGCAGGAGUGCUUUCCACCGGUCCGCUGAGAAUUUAUUUACUAGUGUUGUUGGUUUGUAUCAGCAUGAUUCUAUAUCAGAUAUGGAUCCAGUGUACUUGUCCAAGAAUCAAUGGAUAUAUAAGGUUGAGUUGGCUAGUUAUGUUAAGCAGCUUUAUGCACAAACCUCUGAAUCAGCUAGUUACGUAUGGCACGACAUUGGUCUUCCAACAAGUAGGAUGCUAGUUUGGUACAAGUCAACAUUCUUAGCUCCUCUUGGUACUGAUCCAGUUGUGGUUGAUUUGAUGGGAUUGGGAAAAGGAGAAGCUUGGAUAAAUGUCAGAGCCUUGGAAGGUAUUGGCCAAAUUUUGAAGCCAAUGAAGAUGGUUGCACUUAUAUUUGUAAUUAUCAUGGAGCAUACAAUAGUAAUAAGUGCCUGACCAAUUGAUCAUUAAGGCGUUAAUACUUAAUUGCUCGAGCUCCUGUGAAUCCUACGGGAACGGAAUAACAUUACUUGGAGGACCCAUCUUAAACGAUAUUGUUUUGGCCUUCAAAAUAAAGAAAAACCACUGUUAUUGUAUCUUCCCAUUCAAUUUGUACAAAAACUGAAAGUAACUACCAAUAAAAUUUUAAAAGAUUUAUGUUCA